GGGCGGGGGCUUACCAUGCAGUCGAGCGGAUGAGAGGAGCUUGCUCCUCGAUUCAGCGGCGGACGGGUGAGUAAUGCCUAGGAAUCUGCCUAGUAGUGGGGGACAACGUUUCGAAAGGAACGCUAAUACCGCAUACGUCCUACGGGAGAAAGUGGGGGAUCUUCGGACCUCACGCUAUUAGAUGAGCCUAGGUCGGAUUAGCUAGUUGGUAGGGUAAAGGCCUACCAAGGCGACGAUCCGUAACUGGUCUGAGAGGAUGAUCAGUCACACUGGAACUGAGACACGGUCCAGACUCCUACGGGAGGCAGCAGUGGGGAAUAUUGGACAAUGGGCGAAAGCCUGAUCCAGCCAUGCCGCGUGUGUGAAGAAGGCCUUCGGGUCGUAAAGCACUUUAAGUUGGGAGGAAGGGCUCAUAGCGAAUACCUGUGAGUUUUGACGUUACCAACAGAAUAAGCACCGGCUAACUUCGUGCCAGCAGCCGCGGUAAUACGAAGGGUGCAAGCGUUAAUCGGAAUUACUGGGCGUAAAGCGCGCGUAGGUGGCUUGAUAAGUUGGAUGUGAAAUCCCCGGGCUCAACCUGGGAACUGCAUCCAAAACUGUCUGGCUAGAGUGCGGUAGAGGGUAGUGGAAUUUCCAGUGUAGCGGUGAAAUGCGUAGAUAUUGGAAGGAACACCAGUGGCGAAGGCGACUACCUGGACUGACACUGACACUGAGGUGCGAAAGCGUGGGGAGCAAACAGGAUUAGAUACUUGUUG
rnacentral:rRNA from 1 species